CGGUUAGCUCAGUUGGUUAGAGCGUCUGUCUUACACACAGAAUGUCACAAGUUCGAGUCUUGUACCG
rnacentral:tRNA from 1 species